AACGCACCUUGCACCCUUUGGUAUUCCGAAGGGUAUGCCUGUUUGAGUGUCAUUUAAUUCUCAACUCUCAAUACAUUAUUGAGAGCUUGGAUAAUGGGGGUUAUUGUUGCAGGCCUUUAUCAGGCCAGCUCCCCUGAAAUGCAUUAGCUGGGGCUUUGAAGGGAAUGCAAGUCUUCAGCGUCCUAUCGGUGUGAUAAGUAUCAUCGCCGACGGUCGUUUGAAGCUCCCUUUUAUCUUAGAAGGCCUCGCUUCUCAGCUGUCUUCGGACAAGCUUUCUUUUGAAAGCUUUUUUGUAAAUGACCAUUGUGACCUCAAAUCAGGCAGGAUUACCCGCUGAACUUAA
rnacentral:misc_RNA from 1 species